rnacentral:miRNA from 12 species
AGACAAUCUCAGUGCUCUACCUUACUUGCUAGGUAAUGUGUGUGUGUGUGUGUGUGUGUGUGUGUGUGUGUGUGUUUAUAUACAUAUAUAUAGUCUGUCAUCUCUGCA